rnacentral:rRNA from 1 species
ACCGUCGAACCUGAAACCCUGUGUCUACAAGCUGUGGAAGCACUUUACAUGUGCGACCGCGUACUUUUUGUAGAACGGUCCGGCGAGUUACGCUUACUGGCAAGGUUAAGCACUUCAGGUGCGGAGCCGUAGGGAAACCAAGUCUUAAGAGGGCCUUAAGUCAGUAGGAGUAGACCCGAAACCGGGUGAUCUAUCCAUGUCCAGGUUGAAGCUGCCGUAAGAGGUAGUGGAGGACCGAACCCACAUCCGUUGAAAAGGGUGGGGAUGAGGUGUGGAUAGGGGAGAAAUUCCAAUCGAACCCGGAGAUAGCUGGUUCUCCUCGAAAUAGCUUUAGGGCUAGCCUCGAUACAGAUUUGCGGAGGUAGAGCACUGAAUUUCCUAGGGGGCGUCAAAGCCUACCGAAGAAUAUCAAACUCCGAAUGCCGCGUAAUCGAUUAUCGGGAGUCAGACUGCACGAGAUAAGUUGGGCGGUCAAAAGGGAAAGAGCCCAGACCUUCAGUUAAGGUCCCCAAGUGCGCGUUAAGUGGAAAAGGAUGUGGGAUUUCGAAGACAACCAGGAUGUUGGCUCAGAAGCAGCCAUCCAUUCAAAGAGUGCGUAAUAGCUCACUGGUCGAGAGGUCCUGCGCCGAAAAUGUCCGGGGCUGAAACGCGCCACCGAAACUAAGGAACCGAAAGGUUGGUAGAGGAGCAUUGCAUGCGGGAAGAAGCAGUACCGUAAGGAGCUGUGGACUGCAUGGAAGAGAGAAUGCCGGAAUGAGUAGCGAGAAUAAGGUGAGAAUCCUUAUGGCCGAAUAUCCAAGGUUUCCAGAGUAAAGCUGAUCUGCUCUGGGUAAGUCGGGGCCUAAGGCGAGGACGAGAGUCGUAGCCGAUGGACAACAGGUGGAGAUUCCUGUACUGCGGUAUGACAGAACUGUGGGGACACGUAAGGAAAGCGGAAGCCGGGAAUGGAUAGCCCGGUGCAAGCGGGGUACCAGUCACUUUGGCAAAUCCGGGUGGCAAUGGGAAGCCGUGAUGCGGAGCGAAAUAAAGUAGCGAAGUCCGUGAGCCAUGCGUCAAGAAAAGCCGCUAUUGUUUAUACCGUACCCGUACCGUAAACCGACACAGGUGGAUGAGGAGAGAAUCCUAAGGCCGGCGGAAGAAGCAUUGUCAAGGAACUCGGCAAAAUGGCCCCGUAACUUAGGGAUAAGGGGUGCCUGGGAAACCAGGCCGCAGAGAAUAGGCUCAAGCAACUGUUUAGCAAAAACACAGGUCUAUGCGAAACCGAAAGGUGAGGUAUAUGGGCUGACGCCUGCCCGGUGCUGGAAGGUUAAGAGGAGAGGUUAGCGGUAACGCGAAGCUUUGAAUUUAAGCCCCAGUAAACGGCGGCCGUAACUAUAACGGUCCUAAGGUAGCGAAAUUCCUUGUCGGGUAAGUUCCGACCCGCACGAAAGGCGUAAUGAUUUGAGCGCUGUCUCGACAAUGCAUCCGGUGAAAUUGAAGUACCAGUGAAGAUGCUGGUUACCUGCGCCAGGACGGAAAGACCCCAUGGAGCUUUACUCCAGUCUGGUACUGGGACUCGGUAUUGCAUGUACAGGAUAGGUGGGAGGCUAGGAGAUGGUAACGCCAGUUGCCAUGGAGCCGCUGUUGGGAUACCACCCUUGCAGUAUUGGGUUUCUAACCAGCCGCCGUGACCCGGCGGUGGGACAAUGCCAGACGGGGAGUUUGACUGGGGCGGUCGCCUCCGAAAGGGUAUCGGAGGCGCCCAAAGGUUCCCUCAGAAUGGACGGAAACCAUUCGAAGAGUGCAAAGGCAGAAGGGAGCUUGACUGCGACACCGACGGGUGGAGCAGGUACGAAAGUAGGACUUAGUGAUCCGGUGGCAUAAAGUGGGAUUGCCAUCGCUCAACGGAUAAAAGCUACCCUGGGGAUAACGACCUCGAGGGG